AUACGGAGGGCGCAAGCGUUGCCCGGAAUCACUGGGUGUAAAGGGUGCGUAGGCGGGGCUGUAAGUCAGAGGUGAAAGCCCUCGGCUCAACCGGGGAAUUGCCUCUGAUACUGCAGCUCUUGAGUCCCGGAGAGGCCGCUGGAAUUCCUGGUGUAGCGGUGAAAUGCGUAGAUAUCAGGAGGAACACCGGAGGCGAAGGCGGGUGGCUGGACGGGGACUGACGCUGAGGCACGAAAGCGUGGGGAGCAAACAGGAUUAGAAACCCUAGUAGUCC
rnacentral:rRNA from 1 species